rnacentral:rRNA from 1 species
CUAUACAUGCAAGUCGAACGGAAACCUUCGGGUUUUAGUGGCGAACGGGUGAGUAACACGUAAGCAACCUACCCUAAAGACGAGGAUAACCAUUGGAAACAGUGGCUAAGACUGGAUAGGAAGAUAAAAGGCAUCUUUUAUCUUUUAAAAGACCUAGUAAUAGGUAUGCUUUAGGAGGGGCUUGCGCCAUAUUAGUUAGUUGGUAGGGUAAUGGCCUACCAAGACGAUGAUGUGUAGCUGGACUGAGAGGUUGAACAGCCACAUUGGGACUGAGACACGGCCCAAACUCCUACGGGAGGCAGCAGUAGGGAAUUUUCGGCAAUGGAGGAAACUCUGACCGAGCAACGCCGCGUGAAUGACGAAGUACUUCGGUAUGUAAAGUUCUUUUAUCAAGGAAGAAAAGCAAAUGGCGAACCAUUUGUUUGCCGGUACUUGAUGAAUAAGCCCCGGCUAAUUAUGUGCCAGCAGCCGCGGUAAGACAUAAGGGGCAAGUGUUAUCCGGAAUUAUUGGGCGUAAAGGGUGCGUAGGCGGUCUAGUAAGUCAGUGGUGUAAUGGCAACGCUUAACGUUGUCCGGCUAUUGAAACUGCUAAACUUGAGUUAGAUAGAGGCGAGUGGAAUUCCAUGUGUAGCGGUAAAAUGCGUAAAUAUAUGGAGGAACACCAGAGGCGUAGCGGCUCGCUGGGUCUUAACUGACGCUGAGGCACGAAAGCGUGGGGAGCAAACAGGAU